GAUUCAUGACUGGGGUGAAGUCGUAACAAGGUAACCGUAGGGGAACCUGCGGUUGGAUCACCUCCUUACCUGAAAGAAGC
rnacentral:rRNA from 1 species